rnacentral:rRNA from 1 species
UACGUAGGUGGCAAGCGUUGUCCGGAAUUGUUGGGCGUAAAGCGCGCGCAGGCGGUCCUUUAAGUCUGAUGUGAAAUCCCACGGCUCAACCGUGGAAGGUCAUUGGAAACUGGGGGACUUGAGUACAGAAGAGGAAAGCGGAAUUCCAAGUGUGGCGGUGAAAUGCGUAGAGAUUUGGAGGAACACCAGUGGCGAAGGCGGCUUUCUGGUCUGUAACUGACGCUGAGGCGCGAAAGCGUGGGGAGCAAACAGG